UGAGGAAUAUUGGUCAAUGGGACGGAAGUCUGAAACCAGCCAAGUAGCGUGCAGGAUGACGGCCCUAUGGGUUGUAAACUGCUUUUGUAUGGGGAUAAAGUUAGGGACGUGUCCCUAUUUGCAGGUACCAUACGAAUAAGGACCGGCUAAUUCCGUGCCAGCAGCCGCGGUAAUACGGAAGGUCCAGGCGUUAUCCGGAUUUAUUGGGUUUAAAGGGAGCGUAGGCUGGAGAUUAAGUGUGUUGUGAAAUGUAGACGCUCAACGUCUGAAUUGCAGCGCAUACUGGUUUCCUUGAGUACGCACAACGUUGGCGGAAUUCGUCGUGUAGCGGUGAAAUGCUUAGAUAUGACGAAGAACUCCGAUUGCGAAGGCAGUUGACGGGAGCGCAACUGACGCUUAAGCUCGAAGGUGCGGGUAUCGAACAGGAUUAGAUACCCUGGUAGUCCGCACAGUAAACGAUGGAUGCCCGCUGUUGGUACCUGGUAUCAGCGGCUAAGCGAAAGCAUUAAGCAUCCCACCUGGGGANUCNNCCAGCAACGGUG
rnacentral:rRNA from 1 species